rfam:MAG: Bacteroides dorei isolate HS1_L_1_B_010, complete genome
ACAAGGGAAGUUGUGAAACUUCUUAAUAGAAUAGUUUAGUUAAGUCUAGUUUAGUUUUUGUGUUGUAAGUGCUCCCAUCGUAAGCGAACGAAUGGGAGCACGUUUUUU